rnacentral:sRNA from 1 species
GCUGGGCGCGGUGGUGCAUGCCUGUAAUCUCAGUGACUUGGGAGGCUGAGACAGGAGGAUCACGGGUUCAAAGCCAGCCUCAACAACAAUGAGGCACUAAGGAACUCAGUGAGACCCUGUCUCUA